GGUUAAGCGACUAAGCGUACACGGUGGAUGCCCUGGCAGUCAGAGGCGAUGAAGGGCGUGCUAAUCUGCGAUAAGCGCCGGUAAGGUGAUAUGAACCGUUAUAACCGGCGAUACCCGAAUGGGGAAACCCAGUGUGAUUCGUCACACUAUCAUUAACUGAAUCCAUAGGUUAAUGAGGCGAACCGGGGGAACUGAAACAUCUAAGUACCCCGAGGAAAAGAAAUCAACCGAGAUUCCCCCAGUAGCGGCGAGCGAACGGGGAGGAGCCCAGAGCCUGAAUCAGCAUGUGUGUUAGUGGAAGCGUCUGGAAAGGCGCGCGAUACAGGGUGACAGCCCCGUACACAAAAGCGCAUGUGCUGUGAGCUCGAUGAGUAGGGCGGGACACGUGGUAUCCUGUCUGAAUAUGGGGGACCAUCCUCCAAGGCUAAAUACUCCUGACUGACCGAUAGUGAACCAGUACCGUGAGGGAAAGGCGAAAAGAACCCCGGCGAGGGGAGUGAAAAAGAACCUGAAACCGUGUACGUACAAGCAGUGGGAGCACCCUUUGGGUGUGACUGCGUACCUUUUGUAUAAUGGGUCAGCGACUUAUAUUCUGUAGCAAGGUUAACCGAAUAGGGGAGCCGGAGGGAAACCGAGUCUUAACCGGGCGUUAAGUUGCAGGGUAUAGACCCGAAACCCGGUGAUCUAGCCAUGGGCAGGUUGAAGGUUGGGUAACACUAACUGGAGGACCGAACCGACUAAUGUUGAAAAAUUAGCGGAUGACCUGUGGCUGGGGGUGAAAGGCCAAUCAAACCGGGAGAUAGCUGGUUCUCCCCGAAAGCUAUUUAGGUAGCGCCUCGUGAAUUCAUCUCCGGGGGUAGAGCACUGUUUCGGCUAGGGGCCAUCCCGGCUUACCAACCCGAUGCAAACUGCGAAUACCGGAGAAUGUUAUCACGGGAGACACACGGCGGGUGCUAACGUCCGUCGUGAAGAGGGAAACAACCCAGACCGCCAGCUAAGGUCCCAAAGUCAUGGUUAAGUGGGAAACGAUGUGGGAAGGCCCAGACAGCCAGGAUGUUGGCUUAGAAGCAGCCAUCAUUUAAAGAAAGCGUAAUAGCUCACUGGUCGAGUCGGCCUGCGCGGAAGAUGUAACGGGGCUAAACCAUGCACCGAAGCUGCGGCAGCGACACUGUGUGUUGUUGGGUAGGGGAGCGUUCUGUAAGCCUGUGAAGGUGUGUCGUGAGGCAUGCUGGAGGUAUCAGAAGUGCGAAUGCUGACAUAAGUAACGAUAAAGCGGGUGAAAAGCCCGCUCGCCGGAAGACCAAGGGUUCCUGUCCAACGUUAAUCGGGGCAGGGUGAGUCGACCCCUAAGGCGAGGCCGAAAGGCGUAGUCGAUGGGAAACGGGUUAAUAUUCCCGUACUUGGUGUUACUGCGAAGGGGGACGGAGAAGGCUAUGUUGGCCGGGCGACGGUUGUCCCGGUUUAAGCGUGUAGGUGUGUGUUCCAGGUAAAUCCGGUUCACUUUAACACUGAGGCGUGACGACGAGGCACUACGGUGCUGAAGCAACAAAUGCCCUGCUUCCAGGAAAAGCCUCUAAGCAUCAGGUAACAUCAAAUCGUACCCCAAACCGACACAGGUGGUCAGGUAGAGAAUACCAAGGCGCUUGAGAGAACUCGGGUGAAGGAACUAGGCAAAAUGGUGCCGUAACUUCGGGAGAAGGCACGCUGACACGUAGGUGAAGUGAUUUACUCAUGGAGCUGAAGUCAGUCGAAGAUACCAGCUGGCUGCAACUGUUUAUUAAAAACACAGCACUGUGCAAACACGAAAGUGGACGUAUACGGUGUGACGCCUGCCCGGUGCCGGAAGGUUAAUUGAUGGGGUCAGCGCAAGCGAAGCUCCUGAUCGAAGCCCCGGUAAACGGCGGCCGUAACUAUAACGGUCCUAAGGUAGCGAAAUUCCUUGUCGGGUAAGUUCCGACCUGCACGAAUGGCGUAAUGAUGGCCAGGCUGUCUCCACCCGAGACUCAGUGAAAUUGAACUCGCUGUGAAGAUGCAGUGUACCCGCGGCAAGACGGAAAGACCCCGUGAACCUUUACUAUAGCUUGACACUGAACAUUGAGCCUUGAUGUGUAGGAUAGGUGGGAGGCUUUGAAGUGUGGACGCCAGUCUGCAUGGAGCCGACCUUGAAAUACCACCCUUUAAUGUUUGAUGUUCUAACGUGGACCCGUUACCCGGGUUGCGGACAGUGUCUGGUGGGUAGUUUGACUGGGGCGGUCUCCUCCUAAAGAGUAACGGAGGAGCACGAAGGUUGGCUAAUCCUGGUCGGACAUCAGGAGGUUAGUGCAAUGGCAUAAGCCAGCUUGACUGCGAGCGUGACGGCGCGAGCAGGUGCGAAAGCAGGUCAUAGUGAUCCGGUGGUUCUGAAUGGAAGGGCCAUCGCUCAACGGAUAAAAGGUACUCCGGGGAUAACAGGCUGAUACCGCCCAAGAGUUCAUAUCGACGGCGGUGUUUGGCACCUCGAUGUCGGCUCAUCACAUCCUGGGGCUGAAGUAGGUCCCAAGGGUAUGGCUGUUCGCCAUUUAAAGUGGUACGCGAGCUGGGUUUAGAACGUCGUGAGACAGUUCGGUCCCUAUCUGCCGUGGGCGCUGGAGAACUGAGGGGGGCUGCUCCUAGUACGAGAGGACCGGAGUGGACGCAUCACUGGUGUUCGGGUUGUCAUGCCAAUGGCACUGCCCGGUAGCUAAAUGCGGAAGAGAUAAGUGCUGAAAGCAUCUAAGCACGAAACUUGCCCCGAGAUGAGUUCUCCCUGAGACUUAGAGUCUCCUGAAGGAACGUUGAAGACGACGACGUUGAUAGGCCGGGUGUGUAAGCGCAGCGAUGCGUUGAGCUAACCGGUACUAAUGAACCGUGAGGCUUAACCUU
rnacentral:rRNA from 1 species